AAAUUAGUAAAGGGGAGCCCAUGGCUGAGAGUAGAUUUGAUCUAGACCCUAGAACCUGAAUACGUUAAUGCGUGCGUAGGGAUUACUGUAGGAUUAUAG
rnacentral:ncRNA from 2 species